rnacentral:rRNA from 1 species
AGUCCAGACUCCUACGGGAGGCAGCAGUGGGGAAUAUUGCACAAUGGGGGAAACCCUGAUGCAGCGACGCCGCGUGAGCGAUGAAGUAUUUCGGUAUGUAAAGCUCUAUCAGCAGGGAAGAAGAUGACGGUACCUGACUAAGAAGCCCCGGCUAACUACGUGUCAGCAGCCGCGGUAAUACGUAGGGGGCAAGCGUUAUCCGGAUUUACUGGGUGUAAAGGGAGCGUAGACGGCAGUGCAAGUCUGAAGUGAGAGGCGGGGGCCCAACCCCCGGACUGCUUUGGAAACUGUGCUGCUGGAGUGCAGGAGAGGCAAGUGGAAUUCCUAGUGUAGCGGUGAAAUGCGUAGAUAUUAGGAGGAACACCAGUGGCGAGGGCGGCUUGCUGGACUGUAACUGACGUUGAGGCUCGAAAGCGUGGGGAGCAAACAGGAUUAGAUACCCCGGUAA